UAGGGAAUCUUCGGCAAUGGACGAAAGUCUGACCGAGCAACGCCGCGUGAGUGAAGAAGGUUUUCGGAUCGUAAAACUCUGUUGUUAGAGAAGAACAAGGACGUUAGUAACUGAACGUCCCCUGACGGUAUCUAACCAGAAAGCCACGGCUAACUACGUGCCAGCAGCCGCGGUAAUACGUAGGUGGCAAGCGUUGUCCGGAUUUAUUGGGCGUAAAGCGAGCGCAGGCGGUUUCUUAAGUCUGAUGUGAAAGCCCCCGGCUCAACCGGGGAGGGUCAUUGGAAACUGGGAGACUUGAGUGCAGAAGAGGAGAGUGGAAUUCCAUGUGUAGCGGUGAAAUGCGUAGAUAUAUGGAGGAACACCAGUGGCGAAGGCGGCUCUAUGGUCUGUAACUGACGAUGAGGCUCGAAAGCGUGGGGAGCAAACAGG
rnacentral:rRNA from 1 species